UGCCAGCCGCCGCGGUAAUACGGAGGGGGUUAGCGUUGUUCGGAAUUACUGGGCGUAAAGCGCACGUAGGCGGAUUAGAAAGUUAGAGGUGAAAUCCCGGGGCUCAACCCCGGAACUGCCUUUAGAACUGUUAGUCUUGAGAUCGAGAGAGGUGAGUGGAAUUCCAAGUGUAGAGGUGAAAUUCGUAGAUAUUUGGAGGAACACCAGUGGCGAAGGCGGCUCACUGGCUCGAUAUUGACGCUCAUGCACGAAAGCGUGGGGAGCAAACAGGAUUAGAUA
rnacentral:rRNA from 1 species